UGUUAGCUUACCCAUAAAUAAAAUGUUAAUAAUAUUAAAUUAAUAUUAAAAUUAUUAAAUUAGAAAAUAAUUUUUAUCGAUAAAACUUAAAAUGAUAGUUGUAAUUACUAUAGUUUUAAUAAAAAAAUUCAGGUUUUUAGCAACAAAAAAUUUGGUUACAAAACUUUUUACUUUCGUCGCUAGACAUUUUUAGUGACCAACAAUAUUUCAUCUUUAGAUGGUCACGAAAAGCCCAUUGCUAAAAGUUUACUGAUCGGUUCUUUCAAUUUCAAAAAUAAACCACGCAAUAGCACGUAUCCUGUAGGAUAGUGAUUACGAGUGUCGGUCCACAGGGAUUGGAGACAAGUUAUUUUUCUUAAUUAAAUAAUUAGUUCAAAGGCUUAAGCUAAAGUAAAAAAAGAAUUUUAAGUUAUCGAUUAAUGAGGACUAAAAAGUAAGAUGAAUGCAACGGUAAGAAUAUUUUAUAGAAAGAGAUGUUUAGGGUUAGAAUCUACCGAUGGAUUCGUAAGUGUGAUGCUUUCAAUGACUUAGAUGCGUGUAUGAUCUGAUUUCUCUUAACUACAAGUUAGGGCAAUCAUCCAAAAAGUUGAAAUCUAACCCACAGUAUAAGUCAUCUAAGCCUGGUACAAACCAUCUUCUCGAAGGAUAAGCAUGGUCAGUCCUAUUUAGCAUGAUUCAUCUGAUGAUUAAUUUCUCAAAGAUAAAUAUAGUAAUUGCAUAACAAUCUCCUCCAAACCACAGGUAUUGGAUUCGAUUUCGAUAAACUAGAUUAACUCAUGCAAAGGCUUUCUACAAGAGAAACAUCUUACACAA
rnacentral:lncRNA from 1 species